rnacentral:rRNA from 1 species
CCUACGGGAGGCAGCAGUGGGGGAUAUUGCACAAUGGGGGAAACCCUGAUGCAGCGACGCCGCGUGAGUGAAGAAGUAUUUCGGUAUGUAAAGCUCUAUCAGCAGGGAAGAAAAUGACAGUACCUGACCAAGAAGCCCCGGCUAACUACGUGCCAGCAGCCGCGGUUAUACGUAGGGGGCAAGCGUUAUCCGGCUUUACUGGGUGUAAAGGGAGCGUAGACGGUUAUGUAAGUCUGGAGUGAAAGCCCGGGGCUCAACCCCGGGACUGCUUUGGAAACUGUGUAACUGGAGUACAGGAGGGGCAGGCGGAAUUCCUGGUGUAGCGGUGAAAUGCGUAGAUAUCAGGAGGAACACCGGCGGCGAAGGCGGCCUGCUGGACUGAAACUGACGUUGAGGCUCGAAAGCGUGGGGAGCAAACAGGAUUAGAUACCCCAGUAGUC